UUGCUUAUUUCUAUUAACAUCUCUUAUUUCUUUCAAAAUUCAAAGUCAAAUUUGGAGCGGCCUCUAAACUUCCUGACCUGACAUAAGCACAUCAGUCCUGCUGGCCAACUUCUGAGGGACGUUAUUUUAAUGUCACUGAAUCAAGAGAGUCUCGUGUCAUGUUUUCUUUAACAAGGGACAUAGCUCUCCUCCUUCCAGAUCCUCCCCGGCGUGAAGGUCAUCAUCGCACACACCGAGACCAAAGGACCCUUGGGAGACUCACACCUGGGAGAGAUCUGGGUAAGCAGCCCCCACAAUGCCACCGGGUACUACACCGUUUACGGGGAGGAGGCGCUUCAUGCCGACCACUUCAGUGCCCGGCUGAGUUUUGGAGACACACAGACCAUCUGGGCAAGGACCGGCUACCUUGGCUUCCUUCGGCGAACAGAGCUCACUGAUGCCAGUGGAGGGCGGCACGAUGCACUGUAUGUGGUUGGGUCUCUGGAUGAAACUCUGGAGCUCAGAGGCAUGCGGUACCACCCCAUCGACAUUGAGACCUCUGUCAUCCGAGCACACAGGAGCAUCGCUGAGUGUGCCGUAUUCACCUGGACCAACCUGCUGGUGGUGGUGGUGGAGCUGGAUGGGCUAGAGCAGGAUGCCCUGGACCUGGUGGCCCUGGUGACCAACGUGGUGCUGGAGGAGCACUACCUGGUCGUGGGAGUGGUGGUCAUCGUGGACCCAGGGGUGAUCCCUAUCAACUCUCGGGGUGAGAAGCAGCGCAUGCACCUGCGGGACGGCUUCCUGGCUGACCAGCUGGACCCCAUCUAUGUGGCCUACAACAUGUGAGCGCAGCACACCGGCCCAGGUGCCGGAGAUGAAUGAGCCCCAGCAGUCCAAGGUGUGAUGUGGGAAGACACCGCAGAGCUCACUCACCGGGACUCGCCCUUCCUGUGCUCUUACAGAUCCCUCUCAACAAUCCCCACAUCUCCUUUUAGAAAGCACUUCCUGAAUUAUUUAAAGAAAUAUUUUGAAUCUGCCAAGUACAUUCACAAAAACACGGAUGCUGGUAUUUUAACAGAUGGAGAGACAAGGAAAGGAAAGGAAAGGCCUGGCAUGGGCAUUGUGAGGAAUCACAGGCACCGAGGUUGUUCUCUGCUGUACUGCAAGUUUGCACUUUCUUUAGGCUAAAAAUAUAGUUCCUGAUUUUUAAAAUUCAGUUAUUUAUUCCCACUUCAAAUGACAAGUUCAUAUAUAGGAUUUACGGGAGAAACUUGAGACCAUUUACGGGGAGAAACUUGAUUCUGGGAAGAUAGCAGAGUACAAACCAGCUGCCUCACUUCUGUUUCACAGGGAGGCUGAUGGAAAAAGGAAGCAAGCUGGACCCAUCCUCCCUGCUCACAGAGGGCACUGUGGUCACACACAGUGCCUCCUCUGCCAGUUCCUUUAUUGAAAGAGGUGUGCUGGCUGGCCACGGUGGCUCACACCUGUAAUCCCAGCACUUUGGGAGGCCGAGGCGAGCAGAUCACGAGGUCAGGAGAUCGAGACCAUCCUGGCUAACAUGGUGAAACCUUGUCUCUACUAAAAAUACAAAAAAUUAGCCGAGUGGUGGUGGGCGCUUGUAGUCCCAGCUACUUGGGAGGCUGAGGCAGGAGAAUGGUAUGAACCAGGGAGGCAGAGCUUGCAGUGAGCCGAGAUCACGCUACUGCACUCCAGCCUGGGUGACAGCGCGAGAUGCCGUCUUAAAAAAACAAAAAAGAGGUGUGCUGCUUGUCAGCAUAUAUUGUCACGGACACUCAAUAAGUGCCAUUUUGGACUGUCAAAUUUAGAUGCUUUGUUUCAGAAAGAUAAGCCAGCAUUUAGUUUUAAAUCACUUUCCUGGUUUGUAACUUGAUGCUGUUUAGUUAAAUUGCUAGUUUUCCUAACACUACAAUAUUAAUUCUUCUCGUGGAAGUGUACUGAUUUAUUAUUUUUAUUCCAAGUCAGCAGAUUUGGAAGCAUUGUGGUAAAGUCUAAGGUUUUCAUAUCCAUAGUGCUGUUUGGUGAGUACCGGCAGUACAGUUGAGGGGAGCAGGGAACAGCAUUGCCCCAUAUUGAAGGUGGAGAUGGUUACAUUCUUCACUGCUUUUCGCAUUUUGAGUUGUGUGCCUAUAAAAUUUGGCCAAACCAUUUUAUUAUUUUGUUCAAACUUGACUAAGCUGAGUGAUCUAAAAUUAUACAGAACCUAAAUCAAAGAAGAGAAUGUAAAGUCCUUUAGUUACUUCUAAGAAUUUGAAGUCAAGCACGAAUCUAAGACAUAGAUUAUUUUUAUAUAGCUAAUGAAGACUAUGUUAUGAAAUUGUUGGGUUUUUGGAGUAUUGAGGGUGGCAAAUUUUGUGAAUCAUGCAUGCUUCACAGAAACAACCAGGUUUUUCCAGAAUUAGUCUGGAUCAGUGCCUAACAAAGCUGUUAUUAAUUCUCCACACAUGAGCCUGGCUAACUGGGCCAGCUCUCAUGUUUUACUCCUGUCUGGCUACAAAUAGCACUGUGCAUAGUAGCCCUGUUUCCCCAUGGUGUUGGACUGUGGUAAAGUAUGUUGUGACAUACUGGAAUUCUAAUAAUCCUGUUGUAAUUAUGUACAGAAUCUAUGUAACUUAUUGUUGACAUACAGAGGUUUGGGAAGUAGUCUAAUGGACAUUCCUUACAAUAGAAUGGCUGGGAAGGGAAAGAAAAAAAAAACUACCUAACUCCAAUCUUAAUGUUGUAGUUUUAUAGGAAACAAAAAUUGUCAACUUUUUGUAUUGAAAGGUCAGUGGUGGUAAGACAAGGUGUCUUGUAAAUUAAGAUUUUAAGAAGUGCAUUAAAAUGUUUUAGAAUUACUCUGGGAAUUCUGUAUAUCACACUAAAAUUUUUAUAUCAUUAUGUUAAUAAAAGUUAUUGACUUUGUAA
rnacentral:sRNA from 1 species